CUGCAAGAAAGCUCGGAGGCGAUGCUUAACCGCGGAUUCCAAGUUCCAGUUUAUCAUCUAUUCACCGGUUAUAGUGGCUUUGUUUCAGCCAGGAAAAUAGCGCUUCUUAUUACCUGGCAAGUUUCUCUGCUUAUUUUAUUACGAGUUGGUUUCUUUAAUGUAUUCUUAUUGUUCGUUUACAAUUUAGCCUUCUCAAUGCUCUACAUUUCUUUGUGUUAUGGUAUAAAUUGAUCGAACAAUGUGAAAAAGAGUUUCGGCAUUUAUCACUUAGGUUUAAAGUUUAUUUGUUUCCCAGGCGCCUCUGUAAAUCUGAUUAUUGACAAUUUAGUGGUGAUUUGUGUCUUAAGUUUAAUACCAUGAUGGGAUGAUGUUUGACAAAAAA